CCAGCAGCCGCGGUAAUUCCAGCUCCAAUAGCGUGUAUUUAAGUUGUUGCAGUUAAAAAGCUCGUAGUUGGAUUUCGGGUGGGUGACAGCGGUCCGGCUCUGCUGUGUACUGCUGUUGUCUUCCUUUCUGUCGGGGACGGGCUCUUGGACUUCACUGUCCGGGACUCGGAGUCGGCGAGGUUACUUUGAGUAAAUUAGAGUGUUCAAGGCAGGCUAUCGCCCUGAAUACACAAGCUUGGAAUAAUGAAAUAGGACUUUUUCCAUUUUAUUGGUUAUUGGAGAGAGUAAUGAUUAAUAGGGACAGUUGGGGGCAUUAGUAUUUCGUUGUCAGAGGUGAAAUUCUUGGAUUUACGAAAGACUAACUUAUGCGAAAGCAUUUGCCAAGGAUGUUUUCAUUGAUCAAGAACGAAAGU
rnacentral:rRNA from 1 species